GCUUAGCUCAGUUGGUAAGAGUGUGGUGCUAAUAACGCCAAGGUUAUGGGUUCAAUCCCCAUAUGGGCCU